rnacentral:rRNA from 1 species
GGGGGAUCUCUUGGGUCGCGCGUCGAUAAAAAAAGCACCCCCCUGCGAUAAGUAUUGUGAAUUGCAAAAAUCACUGAAUCAUCGAAUCUUUUAACGCACAUGGGGCUCUCGGGUUCUCCCGGGAGCACGUCCGUCUGAGUGUCGGCAU